GGCAGAUCCGCUCUACAGUCAGGUCUGUUUAGUGGAUCUGGUCCGGCUUCACUCCGGGUUCGGGUUAUGAUUGUGACUCACGUUCAGAUCCGUUUUACUGACGGUAAAUCCGCAUAACAGUCCGUCUCAUUUCACGCCUUCCAUAUGACUUCGGCACGGAGUCAGAUACCAGAUGUGAGUUCAGUGUCAGUUCAGUGUCGUUUUGCGGAUCCGGGCCGCAUCGGCGGAGCGGCACAGGAGCGGGAGAAAUUCAAACUCAGCGCGAGGACCAACUGACAUCUGCUGAAUCUGCGCUUCAGGGCUGCUGAGGGCUGGGGACCUGAGAUAAGGUGUAAUCAUUUACCCAUCAAAUCACCUAACAAGCAGGAUUUGGUAUCCGCAAAAUGGUUCGAGGUCCUCAGCCCUCGCCUCCCCCAGCACAGAGGAAAACUACCAAGGGCGGUACUCUCAUUAUAGGAGAUUCAAUUGUUAGACAUUUAAAAGUAUCUAAGAGUAAUGGCACAAUUUCAUGUCUUCCAGAUGCUUGCAUGCUGGUAGUCGGCAAGCGGCUCCCUGGGGCGCAUUGCCAAAGCAGGAACCCCGGCACCAUCGCCCUCCAUGUGGGGAUGAGCUUUCGGGAGCGACCGGCCCCAUUCCACAGAGACAGGCUUCUCUCUGUGAACAUCGAGGCGGUGCUACGCUGAGACUGACUGUCUCUACCCAGUCACACCAGCCAAGUAGGCUGCACUGUAGUGGUGUUAAGUGUCCAAGAAUGCUCUCAUCAGUGGAGGCACAGCUGGCUGCAAAAAACGUCUGUGUCUGCAUGUUUAUAUUAUGUGAAUUAAAAAUGGUUUUAUUAUUAAAAUAAUUGUA